CAUAAUACCUCUCACCAAUCCACAGGUGAAACAACAGCUCAGUUUCCUGUAACUUCGACUCUUACGUCUGUUUUACAGUGACACUUGAUCUGCUUCACACAGUAGCCUUCAAAACCCCGGACGUCCUUGAACUAUGAUUUGUGUUAAUGCACUGAUAACAUGAGUGUUGCGCAACUCGCACACACACACACGCACACACGCACACACACACACUUCACAGUACUUUUCCAUGGUGUUUAUGUUGUUCUGCCUUCAGAGUUAUAAGAUUCACUCGGAUGUUUUCAGGAGAUCAAUGUUUUUAACAUUUGUUUUCUGUUCGUUUUUUAAAUAUCUUUCCUUUGAAAAGACAUUUUUAUUUAAUUGUGUUUUUCUUCUUUUUAUCCUCCAUCAACAUCCUGGAGGAUAAACAGAUGAACUGCUUGGUGAAGUCACAGAACAGAUGAAGGAGGAGUCACCCUGUGGAGCGCAGGCUGCCCGUCAGGCUCUUCAGCUUCGCCAGGCGCCGGUUCCAGACCUCCAGGUCGUUGAUCCGGACCUCCAGGUUGUCGGUGAGUUUCGAGAGCUGCUGCACCGCCCCGACAUUCUCCAUGAAGAUCUGCUCCUGCAGGAGGAACAGAGAGCUGCUGCUCCGAGUCCACCUGAGAAAACAAGUUCCACAGUCAACAUUUGGUGAAGUGUUGAAAUGGUUCUAAACUGGGAGGAGUGGUCUCACCUCCUGGAUGUUGAACUUGACGCGUGAGUCCGACGGCUGCAUGAUGGUUCCCAUCACCUUCGCGUUUCCACAGACCACCAGCGCCUCGUCGGGGGAGUCCGUGUUGAUGCCGACUCGACCCUGACACACCACGGCGUCCUGCACCGCCCCCCCGCGCUGCCACAGGGCGUCCCCGUCCAUCUCGAACUGCCCGGGGUUCGAGGCCUGCGGGGGGAAGACGACUCUUACACUCAGCUUCAUGUCAGGAGCUUUUGAUUGACAGGUUCGGUGUUGUUACCCUGACGAUGAUCCUCUCGGACACCAGCGCCGUCAGCAGGAAGCUGUCAUCGCCCACGGCGGCGAACAGGCCGACCACCAUCUGGAAGAACCUGGAGACCGAGCAGUUAGCAUGUAGCACGUAGCAUGCUGCUAACGGCCUGCAGCCCAUCCAGUGGGAAUCGAACUCACCUCUGGUCCGGGUUCGGUUUCCCUUUCUUCCUCAUGUUGUUCGACGUCGUCUCGGCGAAGUGCAGCCGGCCCAGCGUGACCUUCGUGACCUCUCCGUCGGGAAGCUUCACCCUGGAGGUUCAGAAAGCCUUCUUCAAUAGAUGAUUUACUUUUUCUAUUUUUACUACUUUAUUCAACUGACAGUUUUCACUUUAUUAAUAAAAAAAAGACAUUAUAAUA